rnacentral:rRNA from 1 species
GGAAUAUUGGACAAUGGGCGAAAGCCUGAUCCAGCAAUGCCGCGUGAGUGAUGAAGGCCUUAGGGUUGUAAAGCUCUUUUACCAGGGAUGAUAAUGACAGUACCUGGAGAAUAAGCUCCGGCUAACUCCGUGCCAGCAGCCGCGGUAAUACGGAGGGAGCUAGCGUUGUUCGGAAUUACUGGGCGUAAAGCGCGCGUAGGCGGCUUUUUAAGUCAGAGGUGAAAUCCCAGGGCUCAACCCUGGAACUGCCUUUGAAACUGGAAAGCUAGAAUAUUGGAGAGGUAAGUGGAAUUCCGAGUGUAGAGGUGAAAUUCGUAGAUAUUCGGAAGAACACCAGUGGCGAAGGCGACUUACUGGACAAUUAUUGACGCUGAGGUGCGAAAGCGUGGGGAGCAAACA